UAUUGUGGCUGAUUAGGCCUGUGCUCAGGUUGAAGGUUUAAGCUAAUGGCAAAGCUUCGUGAACCAAAAUAACUGGGUGUGUCCUGCGAUGUUAAAUUUCCACUGUGUUAUAGCCAACAUCAGCUGGUCGACUUGUUGGUUGUGCUCUAAGGCGUUCCUCAGGGCUUCCUCAGUGCUGAGCAGCCGUUGGCGCAGACGGGUCACCUCCGAGUCCAGAGCCGAGGGGUCUAGCAUCGAGUACCGCCGGUGGUCAGGGGAGGAUCGUUCCCGACCCUGAAAGAACCGCACAAGCUAACUGGUGGGCUGCUCUGAGUACUUCAGAAGCUGCUGAUCUACUACUCUACUUUUCCUCGACUACCAACUGUAGGGUUUACAAAGAAUCCGUGAAGUGAGCAGCAGUUCUCUGGGUGAAAAUGCUUUGUUGAUAUCAGAGCUCAAAGGAAAAUGGCCUGACCACCUGAAGGUGUUAGGUGGGCAACGGUAACUCAAAUAACCACUUGUCACAAUCAAGUCAAACAGAAGAGCAUCUCUGAACACAUCGUGCUUUAAACCUUGAAGCAGAUGAGCUACAGCAGCAGAGGACCACACUGGGUCCCACUCCAGCCUACUUUUGCACAGGCUCAUUAAAAUUAGAAAAACGCUGCUUGGUCUGUUCUGAGUUUCGAUUUCUGCUGUGACAUUCAGAUACAUAUCCAUCCUGCAUGCUACCAUCAGGUUGCUGAUGUUGGUAUGACAGAGUGGACUCUUUGGGUCCCUACUGUUGCUGAUCAUGUCAUUCCCUUCAUGACUGUACUGAUUACCCCUGUCAUGCAGCGGGCACCAUGCCCCAAACCUCAAAUCAUCUCAAACUGCUUUCUUAAACUUGACACUGAUUUCACUGGGAUGUGGUGGGAUUGUAUCAUGAAUGUGCAGCCAACAAAUCUGCAGCAGCUUUGUGAUGCUAUCAUGAACCGAAAGUCUCUGAGCAAUGUUUCCAGCACCUUGUUGAAUCUGUGCCAUGAAUAAUUAAAGGACGUCUGAAGGCAAAAGAUCCAACCUGGUGCUAGAAAGGUGUUCCUAAAGAAGUGGCAGGCGAGUGUAUGUCACAUGCUGAAAUACCAGCUUUAUCACUGAGGACCCUAAUGUAUACCCAACUCUAAUUAAUUAGUGCGGUAGUUCACUAACAUCAUAAUCAUGAAUAAUGUAGGGGCUGCAUAAUGUCAGAAUAAUGGAAAACAACUUUUUCAACAGCGCUGCAGAAAAACACAUUUUCUGAAUGGCUUAAUGAACAAAGGAGCGACCCUGCGCCUCUGCAACGAUGCACUGGCUGCCUUUUACACUUGGGUGGUUAAAUAAUGACCAUAUUAAGCAGAGUGGGGCUUUUUUUUGUUUUUUUUUUUUGGACAGUGUGCACUAAACUCUACCAGACUCUUCAGUAUAGAGAGGUGGCCAUCUGGCAGGUCUUUGUUGGAGAUGAAACCUCAGCCAGCUGCUCUCAGUGACUUCAGGCACCGCUUUAAAGGAGGUGCGGAGCGGCCGUAUGUGCUGGCACAAAGUCAGAUAUUUUCAUAAAGCUUCUGACAGAAGCACGAGCAGUCAUCCAUCACUUUAGAGCUGCGUCGGUGUUUCUGCUUUAUCACUCGGUCGAAUGAUGGUGUGAAAUGUAAAAAAGGUCUGCGAUUCAUUACAGACAUUUUUUUGUUACUCAGGUGAAAAAUA